UACGGGGGAGCAAGCGUUGUUCGGAUUUACUGGCGUAAGGGCGCAGUAGGCGGCCAGCACAAGUUCAGUUGUGAAAUCAUCCCGAGCUUAACUGGAAAGGUCAACUGAUACUGUGCGGCUAGAGUGCGGGAAGGGGCAACUUGGAAUUCUUGGUGGUAGCGGUGAAAUGCGUAGAUAUCAAGAGGAACACCUGCGGCGAAGGCGGGUUGCUGGGCCGACACUGACGCUGAGGCGCGAAAGCCAGGGGAGCGAACGGG
rnacentral:rRNA from 1 species